rnacentral:rRNA from 1 species
UACGUAGGGUGCGAGCGUUGUCCGGAAUUAUUGGGCGUAAAGGGCUCGUAGGCGGUUUGUCGCGUCUGCUGUGAAACCCGAGGCUCAACCUCGGGCCUGCAGUGGGUACGGGCAGACUAGAGUGGCGGUAGGGAGAUUGGAAUUCCUGGUGUAGCGGUGGAAUGCGCAGAUAGUCAGGAGGACACCAGUGGCGAAGGCGGAUCUCUGGGCCGUAACUGACGCUGAGAGAGAAAGCU